UUGUGUACCUUGCAGGCCUGUGUUUUUCCUCUGCACCUCAGCCUAUGAGCUCCACAACACCAUUCACUCUCUGAAAGAGGAAAACCUCCACCUGCAGCACCGGCUGGAGAAUCUCACCCAUGCUCUUAGGGAUUUGAAAUACCUGCUGACUGAGCACCCCAAAGUAUCUGGGGGUAAACAUGACACUGAAUAUCUGCAUGUCUGAAAGGAGUGGGCUCAACAUGGCAUCACUGCAGAGAUUCACCAGGUGUUGGAAGAGACACUUUGUUUAACUGAGCUGCACAAUGUUGGCCACUCUGUCUUCAACACCAUGGAUUUCCUCUUCCUUCUUGUACCUCAAGUGAUUCUUUCAAUGCUGUCAUGACUUGCCUCCACAAGACAAAACAACCUGCAGUUCAUUAAAAACUUCACUUAAGUGUCCCUUAAGUAGUGUUCGUCAAUACUUAAAUUAAGUAGCAGGAAAAUUCAGAGUUCACCAAUACCGUUGGCUUGUCAACAAAUGCACAUGUUACUGUGACAUACAUGUAUAUUUUAUCACAGUUGUAAGAAACAAUUUCGUUUGCCAACUGUAAGGGGAGCCCGAGCACAAAUACAUUGUGGUAAAGUUCACCUUUAAAAUAUCUGAUUAAACAAAGAUGGAAUGACAGUUACACGUAUUACAUAUAAGAUCAAUUUUAUAUUUAUUGAUUUUUAAUACAUAUUGUGU